rnacentral:rRNA from 1 species
GCUAAGGUCCCAAAUCAUAUCUAAGUGGGAAAGGAGGUGGAGAUUCUUAAACAACUAGGAGGUUGGCUUAGAAGCAGCCAUUCCUUGAAAGAGUGCGUAAUAGCUCACUAGUCGAGAGUCUCUGCGCCGACAAUGUAACGGGGCUAAGAUAUGAACCGAAGCUGUGGAUGUCGUAAGACAUGGUAGGAGAGCGUUCUGUAGGCCGUCGAAGGAGGACUGAAAGGAACUCUGGAGGUAUCAGAAGUGAGAAUGCAGGAAUAAGUAGCGAGAAGGGGAGUGAGAAUCUCCCCCGCUGGAAGACCAAGGUUUUCAGGGUAAAGCUUGUCUUCCCUGAGUAAGCCGGGACCUAAGCCCAGGCUAGAAUGCGUAGGCGAAUGGAAAACAGAUGAAUAUUUCUGUGCCAGUUCUACUUUGUGAAGGAGGGACGCAGAAGGGUAUGCGCGCAGACGAACGGAAGAGUCUGUAGAAGCAUGUAGAGUGACUUGGUAGGCAAAUCCGCCAGGUUAGACUUAAGGUGUGACAUAUACUCGCAAGAGGAAUGCGCAAAUCCCACGCUGCCGAGAAAAGCUUCUAGCGGUAAAGUAGAGACUGCCCGUACUGGAAACCGACACAGGUGGUCAGGAUGAGAAAUCUAAAGCGGACAGGCUAACUCUCGUUAAGGAACUCUGCAAAAUGGCCCCGUAACUUCGGGAGAAGGGGUGCCUUUAGGCGUGAGUAUACAAGCGAUACAAAGCGCUUUGAGGUCGCAGUGAAGAGGCUCAAGCAACUGUUUAACAAAAACACAGGUCUAUGCGAAGCUGUAAGGCGAAGUAUAUGGGCUGACACCUGCCCAGUGCCGGAAGGUUAAGAGGAGGAGUGAGAGCUCCGAAUUGAAGCCCCGGUGAACGGCGGCCGUAACUAUAACGGUCCUAAGGUAGCGAAAUUCCUUGUCGGGUAAGUUCCGACCUGCACGAAUGGUGUAAUGAUUUGAGCGCUGUCUUGACGGGAGGCCUGGUGAAAUUGUAUUACCGGUGAAGAUACCGGUUACCUACAGUAGGACGGAAAGACCCCAUGGAGCUUUACUGUAGCUUGGUAUUGGGUUUUGGCAUGGCAUGUAUAGGAUAGUUGGGAGACUGGGAAGGAAUGGCGCUAGCUGUACCGGAGUCAUCGGUGGAAUACCAACCAUUCCCUGCUGAAAUUCUAAUCUGUACUUUGGAGGUAUGGAGACAGUGCUAGGUGGGCAGUUUGACUGGGGCGGUCGCCUCCGAAAGAGUAACGGAGGCGUUCAAAGGUUCUCUCAGGUUGGAUGGAAAUCAACCGCAGAGUGCAAUGGCAAAAGAGAGCUUGACUGCAAGACUGACGGGUCGAGCAGAUGCGAAAGCAGGACAUAGUGAUCCGGCGAUUCCGUAUGGAAGGGUCGUCGCUCAACGGAUAAAAGCUACCCUGGGGAUAACAGGCUGAUCCUACCCGAGAGUCCAUAUCGACGGUAGGGUUUGGCACCUCGAUGUCGGCUCAUCGCAUCCUGGGGCUGGAGAAGGUCCCAAGGGUUGGGCUGUUCGCCCAUUAAAGCGGUACGUGAGCUGGGUUCAGAACGUCGUGAGACAGUUCGGUCCCUAUCCACUGUAGGCGCAAGAAUAUUGAGAAGAUCUGUCCUUAGUACGAGAGGACCGGGAUGGACAAACCUCUGAUGUACCAGUUGUCACGCCAGUGGCACAGCUGGGUAGUCACGUUUGGCAUAGAUAACCGCUGAAAGCAUCUAAGCGGGAAACUAGCUUCAAGAUAAGUAUUCUAAGAGGAAGCUUCGAGAACAGGAGCUGGAUAGGUUGGGGGUGUACGCGCAGUAAUGUGUUUAGCUGACCAAUACUAAUCGAACGAAAUUUUAAU